rnacentral:rRNA from 1 species
AUGGUGAUGGAUGACAACAAACUCCGGGUGCUCCAGAUCCCUCCGCCUAUCCACCCCGACGAUCCGGAUUCUCCUCUCCCGGAGACCAUCCUCAUCGACUCGUUCGGCUACCUCAGCGACCGCACCAACGCCACCACCGCCAGGGGCCGCAGGAGCAGGACCAAGAAGAAGGGCAAGCGCAUCCUGGUCACCUUCUGGCCGGUUGCCCCGCCGCGCGUCUCCUGCUUCACUGUCCACUGCCCAGAUCUGAAGCCCGAUGCAUUCGCUGAAAUCCCCAAGAUCUCCUAUACGGAGGACGACCUCGUCCUGCUCAGCAUCACCAUCUGCCCCGAGCGCCUGCACGUGUACGGCAAGAACAUCCGCUACUUCGUCUACCAGGCCGGCACCAAGAAGACGCCGCCGUCGGUCAAGCUCGUCCACUGUCCCCCCUACUUCAGGAUCUACGACCAAGAGGUUGCCUUACUGCACUGCCACCACCAAGAGAUGUUCUUCAUCGCCGUGCUCCGCUGGGCCUCCAUUGCUCAGGAUUACACCGACGGGCACUUUAAUCUCCACCUGUACAACUCCAAGACAAAGGCAUGGAACAUCAAGUUGAUGCUUCUUGAUUCGCCCAAGGAUUUUGAGUUCCGCUCUUUCAACAAGGGGAUCACCAUUGGAGGGGAGCUUGGUUCAGUGGGUUGGGUCGACCUUAGGGGGGGCAUUAUCAUCUGUGACCUUCUCCUUGACAACCAGAGUCUUCGCUACAUCCCACUACCUUCGCCGCUGUCGCCCGAUCCAGUCAGGGGUUAUAUGUUGUAUGUUCGGAACGUCACUGUUCUCCAAGGUUACAUCAAGUAUUUUGAGAUGCACAGUAACGUCAGACCGGGCUCAGACACUGGAAGCUCCCUGAUAUGUGAAGGUUGGAUGGCUGCAACAAAAAAAAUAAAAAUUUCAAGCAUUGGCUCUACUUCUGGUAGUAGCAACUGGGAGGAGGACUGUACUAUCAGAUGCUCAGAUGAUGUACCAUUGGAUAGCCCUGUGUAUGCCCAAAUGCUACCUAAUCCGCAGGAGGGAGAUGAUGCCAAGCCAAGCCUGAAGAAAAUUCGUGUAGGCUAUCCUGCUCUUAGCUUGCAUGACGGUGAUGUUGUUUACCUUAUGCACAUGCCUGAUCCCCGUGGGGAUAAGGCCUGUGUGAUUGCUCUUGAUAUGAGGAACAAGGCUGUAAAAGGCGUGGCUAAUUUUGGCGGCUCUGGAAGACCCCUGGGUCAUUCUUACACCUACUUUCCGAGUGGGAUCUCCAAGCAUCUGGGCAUUUUCUCAUCAACCAGCAAAUAUCGAAUGCUGCUGAAACAAGUAGGGAUGGCAAGUAAGAAGCUUGUUACCGAAAUUUGA